AUUGAACGCUGGCGGCAUGCUUUACACAUGCAAGUCGAACGGCAGCGCGGGCUUCGGCCUGGCGGCGAGUGGCGAACGGGUGAGUAAUGCAUCGGAACGUGCCCAGUAGUGGGGGAUAGCCCGGCGAAAGCCGGAUUAAUACCGCAUACGACCUGAGGGUGAAAGCGGGGGACCGAAAGGCCUCGCGCUAUUGGAGCGGCCGAUGUCGGAUUAGCUAGUUGGUGGGGUAAAGGCUUACCAAGGCGACGAUCCGUAGCUGGUCUGAGAGGACGACCAGCCACACUGGGACUGAGACACGGCCCAGACUCCUACGGGGGGCAGCAGUGGGGAAUUUUGGACAAUGGGGGCAACCCUGAUCCAGCCAUGCCGCGUGCGGGAAGAAGGCCUUCGGGUUGUAAACCGCUUUUGUUCGGGAAGAAAUCCUCUGGGCUAAUACCCCGGGGGGAUGACGGUACCGGAAGAAUAAGCAACGGCUAACUACGUG
rnacentral:rRNA from 1 species